UACGAAGGGGGCUAGCGUUGUUCGGAAUUACUGGGCGUAAAGCGUGCGCAGGCGGCUUCUCAAGUCAGGGGUGAAAGCCCAGAGCUCAACUCUGGAAUUGCCUUUGAGACUGAGUGGCUUGAGUACGGGAGAGGUGAGUGGAAUUCCCAGUGUAGAGGUGAAAUUCGUAGAUAUUGGGAAGAACACCUAUGGCGAAGGCAGCUCGCUGGAACGGUACUGACGCUGAGGCGCGAAAGCGUGGGGAGCGAACAGG
rnacentral:rRNA from 1 species